AUUGAACGCUGGCGGCAUGCUUUACACAUGCAAGUCGAACGGUAACAGGGACUUCGGUCUGCUGACGAGUGGCGAACGGGUGAGUAACAUAUCGGAACGUGCCCAGUAAUGGGGGAUAGCUCGGCGAAAGCCGGAUUAAUACCGCAUACGCCCUGAGGGGGAAAGGUGGGGGAGUCUUCGGACCUCACGUUAUUGGAGCGGCCGAUAUCGGAUUAGCUAGUUGGUGGGGUAAAGGCCUACCAAGGCGACGAUCCGUAGCUGGUCUGAGAGGAUGAUCAGCCACACUGGGACUGAGACACGGCCCAGACUCCUACGGGAGGCAGCAGUGGGGAAUAUUGGACAAUGGGCGCAAGCCUGAUCCAGCCAUGCCGCGUGUGUGAAGAAGGCCUUAGGGUUGUAAAGCACUUUCAUUGGGGAGAAAGGCUGUUUGGUUAAUACCCAAGCAGAUUGAUGUUACCCAAAGAAGAAGGACCGGCUAACUCCGUGCCAGCAGCCGU
rnacentral:rRNA from 1 species